UGGGGAAUAUUGCACAAUGGGCGAAAGCCUGAUGCAGCGACGCCGCGUGAGGGAUGACGGCCUUCGGGUUGUAAACCUCUUUCAGCAGGGACGAAGCGCAAGUGACUGUACCUGCAGAAGAAGCACCGGCUAACUACGUGCCAGCAGCCGCGGUAAUACGUAGGGUGCGAGCGUUGUCCGGAUUUAUUGGGCGUAAAGAGCUUGUAGGCGGCUCGUCACGUCGGGUGUGAAAACUCGCGGCUCAACCGCGAGCCUGCACCCGAUACGGGCGAGCUAGAGUUCGGCAGGGGAGACUGGAAUUCCUGGUGUAGCGGUGGAAUGCGCAGAUAUCAGGAGGAACACCGGUGGCGAAGGCGGGUCUCUGGGCCGAUACUGACGCUGAGAAGCGAAAGCGUGGGGAGCGAACAGGAUUAGAUACCCCUGUAGUCC
rnacentral:rRNA from 1 species